GACAGUGGACACACAGUUUAACAUGAUGGACUAUAGGACAGGACUGCUGCUUCUAACCAUCUGCUGCUGGACAGGUGUUGAUGGUCAGACUCUGACAGAAUCUGAACCAGUGACUAAAAGACCUGGAGAAUCCCACAGACUGACCUGUACAGCCUCUGGGGUUCACGUUAAUAACUACUGGAUGAGCUGGAUCAGACAGGCUCCUGGAAAAGGACUGGAGUGGAUUGCUAUUAUCAGUCAUAACAGCGUCAGCAUCUACUACUCUCAGUCAGUUCAGGGCCGGUUCACCGUCUCCAGAGACAACAACAGACAGCAGCUGUAUCUGCAGAUGAACAGUCUGAGGACUGAAGACUCUGCUGUUUAUUAUUGUGCUCGAGCGCCACAGUGA